GGUCUAGCGGUUAGAACGCUGGCCUUGUAAUCCUGGGGUCUCGGGUUCGAUUCCCGA
rnacentral:tRNA from 1 species